rnacentral:tRNA from 1 species
GGCUGUAUGGCGCAAUUGGCAGUGCUAUAGGUUUAACCUCCUUAGUACCUACACCUUACCUUACAAAGUAUAAAGUCGUUGGUUCGAAUCCAGCUAUGACCA